UCUGGCGGCCAUAGCGGAGAAGUUACACCCGUUCCCAUCCCGAACACGGAAGUUAAGCCCUCCCGCGCCGAUGAUACUGCCCACGCGGGAAAGUAGGUCGCCGCCAGAC
rnacentral:rRNA from 1 species